UACGUAGGGUGCGAGCGUUAAUCGGAAUUACUGGGCGUAAAGCGUGCGCAGGCGGUGAGCUGUGUCCGAUGUGAAAGCCCCGGGCUUAACCUGGGAAUGGCAUUGGAAACUGGCUCGCUGGAGUGUGGCAGAGGGGGGUGGAAUUCCGCGUGUAGCAGUGAAAUGCGUAGAGAUGUGGAGGAACACCAAUGGCGAAGGCAGCCUUCUGGGCCAACACUGACGCUCAUGCACGAAAGCGUGGGGAGCAAACAGG
rnacentral:rRNA from 1 species